ensembl:snRNA U6 U6 spliceosomal RNA
GUGCUCACUUCAGCAGCACAUAUACUAACAUUGGAUACAGAGAAGAUUAGCAUGACCCCUGCUCAGGGAUGAUACAAAAAUUCAUGGAGAGUUUCAUAGUUAA